AGAAACACAACUAGCACACUCUCUUAUUACACUCUAGCUUCUCUAGGCCUAUCUUAACUCUUUUUGUUCUUACACUCAUCAUCAAGCAUCCACACAUUCAAAUCAACCAACUCUCACAUUCAUUAAGCACAAAACAUCAGGUGAAUUCUUGCAAAUGGUCAGUUGGUCCAAGUCAUUUGGUUGGGUAAGGGAAGGCUUUUAUUCAAGUGAUUCAAGAGGUUCAAAACAUAUGAUCUUUAAGGUGGUUUACUCUCAAAACAAGUAGCCUUGACAUUGCACAUAAUAUAUCUAAGAAAGGGACCAACUCAUGCAUACAAUGCUCAAUCUCCAUUGUUCUACCCUUUUCCCAAACAUAUCAUUACACAAUCAUUCCCAAAUGUCAAACCCAACUCACAUCUCUCACCAAAAGAUCUUAAGAACUUUAACUCUUUCUUUUUGAAAUCUACAAGGGAUUUUUCUACAACCUCAAAACAUUUCUUAGCUCCUAACAACUUUGCUAGCCCCCUUUUCUUUCUUUUUUUUUUUUUUCGAUUUCUUUUUUUUUUUUUUUUAUAUAUAUUUUUUUUUUUUUAGGUUGGGGGCCAAGACUUUUCAAAACUAGAGCUAGAGGUUCUCUACUUAUCCCAGAAAAUCAAUUCACUUAAGCACAAAGAGUCUAUUCUUUUCCUUUUUCAUUUCUCCCAAAUCAUAAUCACAACACUCACCCCCCACCUAUAGCUAGACAAUAGAGUGCCCAAUCUAGCAAGAAUGAAGAUCAAGCAUUGUCGUUCCCGAUACUCUCAACAUUAUGCGCAUGUAAGACUUUCCGAAGAAGGCCUCACUCAUCAAACAAUGAAAGCUUAAAAGGAGGGAAAGGUUUUGGGAGUGGUCUACCACUAGAG
rnacentral:lncRNA from 1 species